rnacentral:pre_miRNA from 7 species
UUCUGUGAGUUUGAAAGACCUCCGAAGGGAGACCCUCACUCAAGUCUCAGGAUAAUAGCGGACCCCCAAGAACUCACGAGAGACA